rnacentral:rRNA from 1 species
AGUCGGAUUCGGGGCGGGGCGACCGGUCUGCCGAUGGGUAUGCACUGGUCGGCGCGUCCUUCCUUCCGGAGACCGUGCCUACUCUUAACUGAGCGGGGGCGGGAGACGGAUCGUUUACUUUGAAAAAAUCAGAGUGUUUCAAGCAGGCGUCUCGCCUUUGCAUGGAUUAGCAUGGGAUAAUGAAAUAGGACUUUGGUGCUAUUUUGUUGGUUUCGAACACCGAAGUAAUGAUUAACAGGGACAGUCAGGGGCACUCGUAUUCCGUCGAGAGAGGUGAAAUUCUCAGACCAAUGGAAGACGAACAACUGCGAAAGCAUUUGCCAGGGAUGUUUUCACUGAUCAAGAACGAAAGUUAGGGGAUCGAAGACGAUCAGAUACCGUCGUAGUCUUAACCAUAAACCAUGCCGACUAGGGAUCGGAGGAUGUUAGAUUUGACUCCUUCGGCACCUUACGGGAAACUAAAGUCUUUGGGUUCCGGGGGGAGUAUGGUCGCAAGGCUGAAACUUAAAGGAAUUGACGGAAGGGCACCACCAGGAGUGGAGCCUGCGGCUUAGUUUGACUCAACACGGGGAAACUUACCAGGUCCAGACAUUGUAAGGAUUGACAGAUUGAGAGCUCUUUCUUGAUUCGAUGGGUGGUGGUGCAUGGCCGUUCUUAGUUGGUGGAGUGAUUUGUCUGGUUAAUUCCGUUAACG